rnacentral:rRNA from 1 species
GAUGAACGCUGACAGAAUGCUUAACACAUGCAAGUCUACUUGAACUUCGGUUUGGGUGGCGGACGGGUGAGUAACGCGUAAAGAACUUGCCUCACAGUUAGGGACAACAUUUGGAAACGAAUGCUAAUACCUGAUAUUAUGAUUUUAGGGCAUCCUAAAAUUAUGAAAGCUAUAUGCGCUGUGAGAGAGCUUUGCGUCCCAUUAGCUAGUUGGAGAGGUAACGGCUCACCAAGGCGAUGAUGGGUAGCCGGCCUGAGAGGGUGAACGGCCACAAGGGGACUGAGACACGGCCCUUACUCCUACGGGAGGCAGCAGUGGGGAAUAUUGGACAAUGGACCAAAAGUCUGAUCCAGCAAUUCUGUGUGCACGAUGACGUUUUUCGGAAUGUAAAGUGCUUUCGGUUGGGAAGAAAAAAAUGACGGUACCAACAGAAGAAGUGACGGCUAAAUACGUG